ensembl:lncRNA
AAAAUUAAUGCCAGCUGUCUAGUCCCAUACUCUGAUUUAACAGAAGAGGCCCAGAAAGGCUUAGCCAAGUGUUCAAAGACACACAGCCACUUAAAGGAGGGUCUCCAAACCAAAGCAGAGGGCUUGUGCAGCCACAUCAGGACAAGGGACCAAGAAAACCUUCAGAUAUGCCAAGUGCAGCCCCAGGCAUCAGGUCCUACUUGUCAUUUUCGCCCAAAAGCCUAUAUUUCCACACCCAACUCUCCAUGAAGCUUUGAAUCCAGCCAAUAAACAUUUCACUGACAGACCUGCAGACUCUGUUUAAAGAGGGUUUAAGCAGAAGUGGAACAUGAUGAAAUACAAGAGAUGCAAGUUUUAGAAAUGCUCACCCAGUCCUGGUCUAAGGAAUGGAUUCCAGAGGAAACCCCAAAGCAGCUGUUCUCAGAGCCAGAGAGGACCUACUGAAUGGUUGGAACUCUAUUUGUCACAGUGACUUGGAAUCCUACUGGCAUUUCUUGGAUGGGAACAAAAGAAGGAAUUAUUCCGUGUCCCACGGACUCUCAAAGGACCCACUGGACAUUCAGUCAACACUAAUCAAACAAGCUGCCUCUGGAGACAGACCCACACAGCAAGGAACUAAGGAUGUCCUCUAGCCAAUGGUCAGUGAGGAACUGAGACUCCGCUCAGUAUCCCACAGGAAGUUGAAUCCUCCCAAUCACCAUGUGAGAGAGCAUGGGAGGCAGGACCCUCUGAAUUCCAGCCUUAAGAUGACUGCAGCCCUAGCCAGCAUCUCGGUUGCAAACUGUAAGAGACAAUGAGAUGAGAC